rnacentral:rRNA from 1 species
GGCCCUUCGGGGUACUCGAGUGGCGAACGGGUGAGUAACACGUGGGUGAUCUGCCCUGCACUUUGGGAUAAGCCUGGGAAACUGGGUCUAAUACCGAAUAUGACCAUGCUCUUCAUGGAGUGUGGUGGAAAGCUUUUGCGGUGUGGGAUGGGCCCGCGGCCUAUCAGCUUGUUGGUGGGGUAAUGGCCUACCAAGGCGACGACGGGUAGCCGGCCUGAGAGGGUGACCGGCCACACUGGGACUGAGAUACGGCCCAGACUCCUACGGGAGGCAGCAGUGGGGAAUAUUGCACAAUGGGCGCAAGCCUGAUGCAGCGACGCCGCGUGAGGGAUGACGGCCUUCGGGUUGUAAACCUCUUUCAAUAGGGACGAAGCGCAAGUGACGGUACCUAUAGAAGAAGGACCGGCCAACUACGUGCCAGCAGCCGCGGUAAUACGUAGGGUCCGAGCGUUGUCCGGAAUUACUGGGCGUAAAGAGCUCGUAGGUGGUUUGUCACGUUGUUCGUGAAAACUCACAGCUUAACUGUGGGCGUGCGGGCGAUACGGGCAGACUAGAGUACUGCAGGGGAGACUGGAAUUCCUGGUGUAGCGGUGGAAUGCGCAGAUAUCAGGAGGAACACCGGUGGCGAAGGCGGGUCUCUGGGCAGUAACUGACGCUGAGGAGCGAAAGCGUGGGGAGCGAACAGGAUUAGAUACCCUGGUAGUCCACGCCGUAAACGGUGGGUACUAGGUGUGGGUUUCCUUCCUUGGGAUCCGUGCCGUAGCUAACGCAUUAAGUACCCCGCCUGGGGAGUACGGCCGCAAGGCUAAAACUCAAAGAAAUUGACGGGGGCCCGCACAAGCGGCGGAGCAUGUGGAUUAAUU